rnacentral:rRNA from 1 species
UACAGAGGGUGCAAGCGUUGUCCGGAAUCACUGGGCGUAAAGGGCGCGUAGGCGGCCUGAUAAGUAGGGGGUGAAAUCCUGGGGCCUAACCUCAGGGCUGCCUUCUAGACUGUCCGGCUCGAGCACAGUAGAGGCAGGUGGAAUUCCCGGUGUAGCGGUGGAAUGCGUAGAGAUCGGGAAGAACAUCGGUGGCGAAGGCGGCCUGCUGGGCUGUUGCUGACGCUGAGGCGCGACAGCGUGGGGAGCAAACAGG